AAUGAACGUUGGCGGCGUGGAUUAGGCAUGCAAGUCGCGCGGAAAGGCCCCGCAAGGGGUGCUCGAGCGGCGUAAGGGACAGUAAUGCGUGGAUACCUACCCUUCGGCCCGGGAUAGCUGCGGGAAACUGCAAUUAAUACCGGAUAAUGUCGCAAGACCAAAGGUGUGAUUCCACCGUUGGAUGGGUCUGCGUCCUAUUAGCUAGUUGGUGAGGUAAUGGCUCACCAAGGCAAAGAUGGGUAGCAGGUGUGAGAGCACGACCUGCGUCACUGGGACUGAGACACUGCCCAGACACCUACGGGUGGCUGCAGUCGAGAAUCUUCGGCAAUGGGCGCAAGCCUGACCGAGCGACGCCGCGUGCGGGAUGAAGGCCCUCGGGUUGUAAACCGCUGUCGUAGGGGAGGAAUGGCCGGAAGGUUCUCCUUUCGGUUUGACCUAUCCUAGGAGGAAGUCAGGGCUAAGCUCGUGCCAGCCGCCGCAGUAAGAC
rnacentral:rRNA from 1 species